AUUGAACGCUGGCGGCAUGCCUUACACAUGCAAGUCGAACGGCAGCACGGGUGCUUGCCCCUGGUGGCGAGUGGCGAACGGGUGAGUAAUACAUCGGAACAUGUCCUGUAGUGGGGGAUAGCCCGGCGAAAGCCGGAUUAAUACCGCAUACGAUCUACGGAUGAAAGCGGGGGACCUUCGGGCCUCGCGCUAUAGGGUUGGCCGAUGGCUGAUUAGCUCGUUGGUGGGUAAAGGCCUACCAAGGCGACGAUCAGUAGCUGGUCUGAGAGGACGACCAGCCACACUGGGACUGAGACACGGCCCAGACUCCUACGGGAGGCAGCAGUGGGGAAUUUUGGACAAUGGGCGAAAGCCUGAUCCAGCAAUGCCGCGUGUGUGAAGAAGGCCUUCGGGUUGUAAAGCACUUUUGUCCGGAAAGAAAUCCUUGGCUCUAAUACAGUCGGGGGAUGACGGUACCGGAAGAUUAAGCACCGGCUAACUACGUG
rnacentral:rRNA from 1 species